CCGGUUGAUCCCGCCGGAGGCUACCGCUAUUGGAGUUCGAUUAAGCCAUGCGAGUCGCGAGAAAUUAGAUUCUCGGCGUACCGCUCAGUAACACGUGGGUAACCUGCCCUAUGCUGGAUAAUAACCUCGGGAAACUGAGAAUAAUGAUCCAUAGUUCACUACGCCUGGAACGGUGAGUGGAUGAAAGCUCCGGCGGCAUAGGAUGGGCCUGCGGCGUAUCAGGUUGUAGGGGGUGUAACGUACCCUCUAGCCCUCUACGCGUACGGGUGUUGGGAGACAUAGCCCGGAGAUGGAUUCUGAGACACGAAUCCAGACCCUACGGGGUGCAGCAGGCGCGAAAACUUGGCAAUGCGAGAAAUCGUGACCAGGGAACUCCAAGUGCAUCGGGUAAGACCGGUGCUUUUCUUGACUCUAAAUAGGUCUUGGAAUAAGGGGUGGGUAAGGACGGUGCCAGCCGCCGCGGUAAUACCGGCGCCUCAAGUGGUAGUCGCUUUUAUUGGGCCUAAAACGUCCGUAGCCGGUCUGAUACAUUCGUGGGUAAAUCAACCAGCUUAACUGGUUGAUUCUGCGAGGACGGUCAGACUUGGGACCGGGAGAGGUGUGGGGUACGCUCAGGGUAGGGGUAAAAUCCUGUCAUCCUGAGCGGACCACCUGUUGCGAAGGCGCCACACUAGAACGGAUCCGACGGUCAGGGACGAAGCCUAGGGGCACGAACCGGAUUAGAUACCCGGGUAGUCCUAGGUGUAAACGCUGUGGACUUGAUGUUGGGGGUGCUCCGAGCACUCUCAGUGUCGAAGCGAAGGUGAUAAGUCCACUGCCUGGGAAGUACGGUCGCAAGGCUGAAACUUAAAGGAAUUGGCGGGGGAGCACCGCCUCCUGAGGAUUGUGCGGUUUAAUUGGAUUCA
rnacentral:rRNA from 1 species